rnacentral:rRNA from 1 species
UACGUAGGGGGCUAGCGUUGUUCGGAUUUAUUGGGCGUAAAGAGCGUGUAGGCGGCCAGGUAGGUCUGGUGUGAAAACUCGAGGCUUAACCUCGAGAUGUCAUCGGAAACCAUCUGGCUAGAGUCCGGAAGAGGAGAGUGGAAUUCCUGGUGUAGCGGUGAAAUGCGCAGAUAUCAGGAAGAACACCAAUGGCGAAAAGCAGCUCUCUGGGACGGUACUGACGCUGAGACGCGAAAGCGUGGGGAGCGAACAGG